CGGAGGGUGCGAGCGUUAUCCGGAUUCACUGGGUUUAAAGGGUGCGUAGGUGGUUUUGUAAGUCAGUGGUGAAAGCCCGGAGCUUAACUCCGGAACUGCCAUUGAUACUGCUUAACUUGAAUCAAGUAGAGGUGGAUGGAAUAUUACAUGUAGCGGUGAAAUGCUUAGAUAUGUAAUAGAACACCGAUUGCGAAGGCAGUUCACUAUGCUUGUAUUGACACUGAGGCACGAAAGCGUGGGGAUCAAACAGGAUUAGAUACCCUGGUAGUCCACGCCCUAAACUAUGUAAACUCGACAUUAGCGAUAUACAGUUAGUGUCUAAGCGAAAGCGGUAAGUUUACCACCUGGGAAGUACGACCGCAAGGUUG
rnacentral:rRNA from 1 species